rnacentral:rRNA from 1 species
ACGGAGGAUCCAAGCGUUAUCCGGAUUUAUUGGGUUUAAAGGGUUCGUAGGCGGCCAGUUAAGUCAGCGGUGAAAUACCGGCGCUCAACGCCGGGGCUGCCGUUGAUACUGAUUGGCUGGAGGGGGAUCGACGCCGGCGGAAUGUGGCAAGUAGCGGUGAAAUGCAUAGAUAUGCCACAGAACACCGAUAGCGAAGGCAGCUGGCGAGUUCCACCCUGACGCUGAGGAACGAAAGCGUGGGGAUCAAACAG